rnacentral:rRNA from 1 species
UUGGCUUGGAAGCAGCCAUUCAUUCAAAGAGUGCGUAACAGCUCACUAGUCGAGGGACUGUGCAUGGAUAAUAAUCGGGUAUGAAACCCAUUGCCGAAGCCGCGGGACACUUUAUGUGUCGGUAGGGGAGCAUUCCAGCCGCGCUGAAGCCGUGAGGACGACUCACGGUGGAGCAUCUGGAAAAGCAAAUGUAGGUAUAAGUAACGAUAAAGAGUGUGAGAUGCACUCUCGCCGUAAGACUAAGGUUUCCCGGGCAACGUUAAUCGGCCCGGGGUCAGUCGGGACCUAAGGAUAAGCCGAAAGGCGAGGCCGAUGGCAGAAAGGGUUAAUAUUCCCUUACUACCUUUAUGGGCGAUGCGGAGACGGAGAAGUGAAACUCCCGCGCGCUGACGGAAUAGCGCGUUAAAGGGUGUAGGCGCUGAUCGCGGCAGGCAAAUCCACCGCGAGAGCCGAACCUGACAGUACACAAAGCCUUCGGGCGGCGUGACAGCGGAGGUAAGCAAGCUCCCGAGAAAAUCCGCUAAGCUCAACCAUAGAGGUACCCGUACCGCAAACGGACACACGUAGUCGGGUAGAAUAUACCAAGGCGCUUGGAAGAUUCACGGUUAAGGAACUAGGCAAAUUGACCCCGUAACUUCGGAAUAAGGGGUCCUCACGCGAGUGAGGCGCAGAGAAUAGGUCCAGGCAACUGUUUAACAAAAACACAGGGCUGUGCGAAAUCGAAAGAUGAGGUAUACAGUCUGACACCUGCCCGGUGCCGGAAGGUUAAGAGGAGAUGUCACCGCAAGGGAAGCAUCGAAUUGAAGCCCCGGUAAACGGCGGCCGUAACUAUAACGGUCCUAAGGUAGCGAAAUUCCUUGUCGGGUAAGUUCCGACCUGCACGAAUGGUGUAAUGAUCCGGACGCUGUCUCAACCGUGAGCUCAGUGAAAUUGUAGUAUCGGUGAAGAUGCCGAUUACCCGCGAUGGGACGAAAAGACCCCGUGAACCUUUACUGCAGCUUAACGUUGUGACCGGGCAGCGGAUGUGUAGGAUAGGCCGGAGGCUAUGAAGGGGGCACGCCAGUGUUCUUGGAGCCGCCGUUGAAAUACGGCCCUUCCUCUGUCUGGUUCCUAACCCGCGAUAUGCGGGGACACCGUUUGGCGGGCAGUUUGACUGGGGUGGUCGCCUCCAAAAGCGUAACGGAGGCUUCUAAAGGUGCCCUCAGGCCGAUUGGUAACCGGCCGCAGAGUGUAAUGGCAAAAGGGCGCUUGACUGGGAGGCCGACAAGCCGAUCAGGUGGGAAACCAGAGCAUAGUGAUCCGGUGGUUCCGUAUGGAAGGGCCAUCGCUCAAAGGAUAAAAGGUACUCCGGGGAUAACAGGCUGAUCCCUCCCAAGA